rnacentral:rRNA from 1 species
CUCAGAUAAAAAAAAUACAGAGUAACUUAUGUGACUAAGAAUUAUAAUGAAAUCUCCUGAAAACACCUUCGUAGUAUCAAUCUCUACUCGAAGAAAUACUCCAAAGACUUCGGUAAAGAGGCUAUAAUUAGACUCGAGCAACGAUGUUGUCACUCUUUCACCCUCACAAACAUUACCAAUAAUGGUUUUUGAAAGCGCCUUGAGUCGCCCAUCCAAAAAGAUGAGAAGCCUUGAUCGAUGAAUGUACCUGGUCUAGAGAUGCCCCCUAAAAGUGCAGGCCGUCGAAUCACUAUAUCUUCAUCAUGAUGUCGAUGAAAUAUUUCACCUUCACAAAAAAUCAGACAAAUAAAAAAGCUCGAUGCAAUAACAUAAACUCAUCAGAUCCGAAUAAUCGGUUCUGCGAGGAAAAAGCUCUCUAACCUCUAACUGCUCUCGGGUCGCUCCUCGUGGGCGACUCGAGGGCGACAAACCCUAGCUCUCUCAGGCCUCCCCCUCCUCCCUUCCCCGCCCCGCCGCCACCCGAGGUGGUCGCCGGCGUUCCCGCGCCGCUGUCAGUGAAGGUGGCGGCGAGGUCCCUGCUGCCCUGCAUCUUGUGGGGAGCUUUGGUACGCCGGGGCGGCGGCCCUGGGUGAGAAGGCGGCGUCGACCUCGGCUGGCGGGUGGCGCCGCAGGUGUUGGCUGGCCCUCCCGGUCACGUGGGCGGCGGUGGCUCCUCGCGGCGUGGUCUGCCCCGGCGGCUGCGCCAGAUCUGGAUCCCGGUGGGCUGCUUCGGCCUCAUCCAUCCUCGCCGGCUGCGGAUUCGGCUGUAUCUGGAUCCCGUGCUUCGGGCCGGCCUGUGGACGUGGUGAGGGAAGAUCUGGGAGGGGGGAAACCCCCGGUCGACCUCAACGCCAACAGUGGCUCCGGCCCCGUUUUCCCUCUUGAGGGGGCGCUCGAUUCCCUCCUUCCCCCUCCUCCAUCCACCUCAUCCCGGGUGAAAACCUUGGCUGCAUGCGGCCAGGCGACGGCGGCGCUCCGGCGUCGUUAUCUUCUUGAAGACGCCACCUUGGGAUGGUUGGAGGGUUGUGGAUGUGCGUCGAGCUAUCGGCUUCGGUUGCGGCUGUGUGGUUCCUGCAGGAUGUCAUUGGUAGUGGGUGUGUGGUCGCCUUCCCGCUCUGGUUGUUGUGGUUCGCCGUCAGGUGGCGCUGUGGGGUUGCUGGCCAGUGGUGGUGCUCCAUUGGGGCGAGCGGAGAUGAGGUCUCCCCUCCGGCAAUGUGUGAGGAAAGAUGGUGGUCUCUCCUCCAUUCCCGGCUUGCAAUUCUGACUAUGGCGACGGUGAUCAUUCCGCGGUGGUGUCCCUGUCAUCCUCCAUCUAGUGCAUCUCUUCGGCCUCUGCACACGCUGAUCCUCUUCAUCUUGGAGUUCCUCUUCGACUUGAUCCUGUAAUUUUCUUAAGUGGCAACUGUGUGUGACCUUCUCAAGUUAGCUUCUUGGUCUAGCUGCCUACUCUUUUUUCUUGUAUCAAGUUUGUUCCAAUGUUGGAAACACCAUUGUAUCCCCUAGCCGGUUGAUGGCUUCAUUAAUUUGAAGUCGGGCAUGAUGCCUUUUAUCUAAAAAA